ACUCCUACGGGAGGCAGCAGUGGGAAUCUUGGACAAUGGGGGAACCCUGAUCCAGCCAUGCCGCGUGAGCGAUGAAGGCCUUAGGGUUGUAAAGCUCUUUCAGGUGGGAAGAUAAUGACGGUACCACCAGAAGAAGCCCCGCGUACAUCCGUGCCAGCAGCCGCGGUAAUACGGAGGGGCGUAGCGUUGUUCGGAAUUACUGGGCGUAAAGCGCACGUAGGCGGAUUGGAAAGUUGGGGUGAAU
rnacentral:rRNA from 1 species